GACGAACGCUUGCGGCGUGCCUAAUACAUGCAAGUAGGACACAGUUUCGCACGGGUGAGUAACGCGUAGGUAACUAACCAUUAGAGGGGGAUAACUCUUGGAAACGAUAGCUAAUACCGCAUACUAGUAGCUGGACCUGCGUUGUAUUAGGUAGUAGGUAGGGUAAUGGCCUACCUAGACAACGAUACAUAGCAUACCUUAGGUGGUGAACGGCGAGCCUUGGACUGCGAUACGGCUCAGGCUCCGACGGGAGGCAGCAGUAGGGAAUCUGCGGCAAUGGGGGGAACCCUGACCGGGGAACGCCGCGGGAGUGAAGAUGGUUUUCGGAUCGUAAAGCGCUGUUUUUAAGGAAGCGGUACUUAACCAGAAAGGGACGGCUAACUACGUGCCAGCAGCCGCGGUAAUUC
rnacentral:rRNA from 1 species